rnacentral:rRNA from 1 species
GUAGGGAGCAAGCGUUAUCCGGAUUUAUUGGGUGUAAAGGGUGCGUAGACGGGAAAUCAAGUUGGUUGUGAAAUCCCUCGGCUUAACUGAGGAACUGCAACCAAAACUAAUUUUCUUGAGUGCUGGAGAGGAAAGUGGAAUUCCUAGUGUAGCGGUGAAAUGCGUAGAUAUUAGGAGGAACACCGGUGGCGAAGGCGACUUUCUGGACAGUAACUGACGUUGAGGCACGAAAGUGUGGGGAGCAAACAGGAUUAGAUACCCUGGUAGUCCACACCGUAAACGAUGGAUACUAGGUGUAGGGGAUGAAUAAUCUUCUGUGCCGUCGCAAACGCAGUAAGUAUCCCACCUGGGGAGUACGGCCGCAAGGUUG